ACAAUUCAGAGUUUACACAGCCGCAAAGCACAGUGGUUAGUCUCAUUCUAAGAAAUGCGUCUUAUGUACAUUUCGCUGCUAAAACAGUCUUCUGCAGAAAUCCACAUGCAACAAUCAGGCAUAAGAUUAUGACCAUCUGCCUAGUAGUGUGUUAGUUCCCCUAUUUGCUGCCAAAACAAGCGCUGCCCCUUCGCAUAAACUCCUCUAGACACCUGAAGGUGUGCUGUGGUAUUUGGCAAAAAGUUCUAUAAGUUGUAUGGUGGGGACAGCAUGGAUCAGAGCUGUUUGUCCAGCACAUCCCACUGACAGUAAAUCUGACUGAGAUCUGGGAAAUUUUGAGGCCAAAACUGUUGCUGUGCUCCUUAAAGCUUUGCUGAACAAAAGUUAAAGAUGGAGAACAUUUUGUGACAGAGAAACAUUUUUCUGUUGAAACUGAGCACAACCAUCAGAGAGCACAUCUUCAAUGAAACGGUGUGUGUGGUUUACAACAAUGCUCAGGUAUGUUGUACAUAUAAAGGGAGUCCUUCAAAUGCUUCACUGUCCUUGGCCUGCUGGAUGCCCAACACUGACAGUCAAACUGACAUAAUUGCUUGUUUUGUGAUUAAUUCAGCAAAAUUAAUAUCUGCUCAUUUGAAUUAGAAAAUUCUAAUUUAAAUUCCAUGCAACUUGUUGCUGCUUGAUAAAUAUAAAAACAAAAACAAAAGGAAUAAAUUCCACACUCUUCAUUUUGACACAUAUAACUCAUAGCCGGAUAAAAGUCAUUAAUUUCCUCACUGGUUAUGGUUAGACCCAUGUGGUUUGUGAUUUUUCUUAACACCAGCAUACCUCGUGAGAGUCAGUGUGACGGAAGCUUAAAUUCUACAUUGAUGUUGUGAUGAUAACAUGUUGACAAUGUUCAAACAGAACACUGAACAUCUAUAGUACCACACUGCUUUUUUGAGCUUUGCCGUCUUCUCAUACUGCAUAAUAAGGCCACAUGUUCCCCAAGUAAGCAACACACAAGUAUCCAGUCAUCCAGGACACAAAAGAAAAUGUGACUCUGCAGAAAAGACCCCCUUCUUCCACAGCUAGGUCCAGUUCUGAGGCUCGCAUGUACCUUACUGACUCUCUGGGCGGUGAGCAGAACAACUGGUUUACAGCCGUUAAUAAACUGCAGUGCCUUGAUACCACUGAUGCUUUUCUAUCAGAAGCAACAUUAGCUUAUUCAGGUAUUUUAGCUACAAAAUCUCAAAGCAACGUUCUUUCCAUAGACCAGUUUUUAGAGAUGCUCACCACUGCAGAACAGAAACACCCAACAAGAGUUGCAGCAUUGGAGAUGCUCUGACCCGCUUAUUUACCCUUGUUCAAUUUGUUGCACUUACCUAUCUUUGCUAUUUCUAACACAUUCACUUUAAGGACAAAAUGUUCACCAUAAUAUUCCACCAUAAUCAGGGUUAUUUAUACCACACAUCAGUGGUCAUAAUGUUAUGCACGAUUGGUGUAUGAUUACCUCAUCACACAGGGGAUAUGGAAAAAGCAUGCCAAUAUGAAGCAUAUUCUGACCAGAUAACGUCAGUGUACUGUAACAGUAGCUGUUUCACUGUCAGGAAAAAUGUUGAGUUUCGAGUUAGAGUCGCGUGCAACAAUGAACCUGUGUGGAUAAAAUAAUGCAUUUUGACAUUUUACUUGCAUUCGAUGAAAGCCACAAAAGUGAUGAUGAAAUGGAUGACUGUGGUGUAUGCUGGGUUUCUGCCUGAUAUAUUAUGCAGCAACACUGUCUCAACGGAGGGAAAUCUCUUUCUGAUACGAUGAAAAUUAUCUGUGAAGGUAUCUUAGAGACAACAUUCUUGGGGAAAUCUUAUGUAUGGUAAAAUGAUGGUUGGCGUUUCUCCCGCAUCACCCAGUUUGCACCCGUGGUGCAAAUCACAGGCUCCGUGGCAUAAAUCAGGAGAAAUGGCCGUUAAACGCGGCCCGACGCACUUCCAUAUCAAGUACAUUAUAGCAAACACACGUAGGUCAGAGGAAAUACUGUCAUGAACACGAUGAGAGGUUAUUUAUUGUCUCAGUCGAUUAGACAAAAAAAAAAAA